UACAGAGGGGGCAAGCGUUAUUCGGAAUUAUUGGGCGUAAAGGGCGCGUAGGCGGCCUGACAAGUGGAAGGUGAAAUCCCUCGGCUCAACUGAGGAACUGCCCUCCAAACUGUUUGGCUUGAGACCGGGAGAGGUGAGUGGAAUUCCCAGUGUAGCGGUGAAAUGCGUAGAUAUUGGGAGGAACACCGGUGGCGAAGGCGGCAUCCUGGACCAACACUGACGCUGAGGAGCGAAAGCGUGGGGGAGCAAACAGG
rnacentral:rRNA from 1 species